AUAUGAACGUAGAUAAGGAAUAGUAGAGUCUGUAUUUUAAUUUAAGAGAGUGCAUGGUUGGUGUGAAUGUACUAAAUAGAGAUUUGAACUCGCCUUAGAUGUUUCUUCAUUGAAAUUAGUAGGUGAAGACGGUACUUUCCGUUAGAAAAGAAGAGAGCUAAUCAUUUGAUUGGAAUAUAGGUGGUACCGCGAGUUUUUCGUCCUAUAC
rnacentral:ncRNA from 1 species